GAGCUGCACUUUGAAGGAUGAACGGGAACUGGCUAGAAGGAUAGGUGGACAGAACGGCAGGUGCAAAGGUGGAGAGGCUAUGAGUGCAUGGCAUGUUCUGGUAACAAAGGACAAGAUGUUUGCCCGGCUGGAGUGCAGGGAUUGCCAGGGAGGGGCCUAGAUAAGGCUGUAUCCGAAGAUGGAGCUGGGUCUCUGGCCAAGGCCACUCCAGAUAUCCUAGUUCCAGCCACCAUGCUCUCUCGCCUGGACCAUUGCAGCAGCCUCUAACCAGUGUCCCCGCAGUCCUCCUUGCCUCCCCCUCCCCCAAGCAUCUCCGCAAAGCAGCCUGAGUUACCCGUUGAACAUGUGCUGGGAUCAUGUCACUCACCUACUUCAACUUCCUGUGACCUCCCACUGCAUGUGGAAGAAGACGGGAGAUGUCUCAACCUGGCCACAAGGCCUGCAUAAUUUGGCCCUCACCUCUUCUUACUCCUCAGACUCUUCUUGGCUCCCAACUAUGCUCUUUGGAGAGCCUAGUGUCUCCCAGCCUCAGGGUGCUUCAGUUUGCUGUGCUGGCUCCCUGGAAUGUUCUUCCGAAAUGUUGGCAUGACUCCUUCUUCCUGUCAUUUGAGUCUCCCCUUCUUGAAGAGGCUCCUCUCAGAACGCCAGCGCCACAGACAGGACCUUGUCUGUCCUGUUCCGCCUAUUUCCAGAGCUAGAACAGGCCUUGGCAUAUGGUAGAGCCUCAAAUAUUUGUUGACUGGACAGGAAUGGAUUCUAUUCAAGAAAACCCUUACCCGGCCAUCCUCCCAGAACUCAGCUUCUUCCCAAGCCUAGGAGGGGUGCUCAAGGGUGGCCCCAAAGGAUGCUGGGGAACACCCAACCGUCUGGGUAUCAGGAGCCUCUGAAGCCUCUGCCAGGGCCUGGAGGGUCAGUGCCUCCUGGCUAACUGGAAAGAAGCCCCUCAGGCAGAUGCAGACCCCUGGGGCUUGGCUGAGCAGAAAGUGCCUUUGUCAGGAGGAAGCGGGCCUCUUUCUCUGGAGAGGGGCAGCCCAGCCAGGACACAAGGCUAGGUGAGUGGAGGCCUCCUGGAUGGGGCUCGUUUGUGUGGCGACAACUUCUCAGCCAGCCAAGACAGCCCUGGAACCCCCUCUCCUCCCACUUUGGCUCCAGAGCAUCCCUAUCUGUAGGGCACUGCUGGGAGGGUGCCCAGGAGAGCAAGACUUAGUCCUUGGACACGAGGCAUCAGAUCCACCUGGGAGAACAGGCCUGCCUCCUGCAGGCUCACGUGGGAGGCAGUGGCCGCCCCAGCAUGUAGACCUCACAACCCUACUGCUCAAGAGGUGGGGCCGAGCUCCUGGCCCACUUUUGUGCACCAACCAUUUGGAUCCCAUUCCUUCUCUUUGCUGAUUCCAAGGAUUUAUGCCUCAAGGUGCAUCUUAAAAAACAACAAACAAAUAAAACUUAAAGAAGGCAAGAAACCAAAUUGCAAAUCAAAGCAAGAGUCUUUGGGUGCUGGCUCAUAGAGGGCUCAGUUCUAGCCCUCUUUCCUUGUGACUGUACUGUUCCCCGGUCUCAUGCCCACCACACUGUGUGUAAAACAUCCCCUGAGUGCAGACACCGGAGCUACAGGAGAAACAAGCUGCCCACAGCGGGCUGCCUAUGUUUCCAGACUCCUAUCCGUUCCAGCCAGUUUGAUUCCUCCCAAAGGAAACUGAUAUCAGGUCCCGCUAUGGCCUGUGCUAAUAGACUGUCUGCUUAUGGAGUUAACAAGCAGAAUUGCUAAUGUGCCAUUCUUGACUUCCAGGAUAAAGCCUUAACGGAAAAAAAGGCAACUUGCAGAACAAUAUGCAGCUCCCACUUUUUGAGAACCGAUUUUUAAAAUAUAUCUUAUGGGUGUAUAGAAAAAAGUUAGGAGGAAUACACACCGAACUGUGAACAAUGGCGCUGCCCUGGUAGGAAGGCAGAAAACUUGCACUUUAAGUGUAUACACUUACGUAUAUUGCACUUUUCUUUUUAAUCCUCACCCGAGGAUAUGUUUUUAUUGAUUUUAAGAGAGAGAGGAUGGGAGAGAGAAACAUCUAUCAGUUGCCUCCUGCAUGUGCCCUGACUGGGGAUCAAACCCAAAACCUAGGUAUGUGCCCUGACCUGCAAUUGAACCCAUAACCCUUUGGUGUACGGGACAAGGCUCCAACCAAUUGAGCACCCGGCUAGGGCGUAUAUUGGACUUUUUAAACAGACAAGUAUGUGUUUAUUACUUUUAUAGCUUUAUAAACUAUAAAAAUAUUUUAAAUCACAUUAAAUUUAUAGUUUUAUAAUUUUUAUAGUUUUAUAAACUAUAAAAUGCUUUAAAGUCACCUUAAUGUACUCUACAAAUAUAUAAUGUUACAAUAGAUUCCAUAGCUUUGUAAAUAACUUCAAAAUACUUUUUAAUGGCCAUAUUUUUUAAAUUAAAAAAUCUGGAAACAUGGUCUAAGAAUGAAUAGUUUUCUGAUUUGUGAAUUUGAAUUUGCUCAUAUGGGAACCAUACCUAGUUAUAGACACUAAAUCACAUUCUGUUCUACAGAUAACAAGUCAUCUUUAUUUUAAAUGAGAAAAGCUCAUUUAUUUAUAUAUAAAGAACUACAAAUCAAUGUGAAAAAGAAUCAUAAUUCAAAAGAAAGUGGGUGUACACAGUUUAUUUUAACCAAUAGUAAAUGCAAAUGAUUUUAAACAUGUUUAAAAGUGCUAAGACUCUGAAUAAAAGAUAUGCAAAUUAAAACUAAACUAAUAUGACAGGUCAAGUUGAAAACCUUUGAUAAUGUGCCAUCCUGAUAAAUAGGUACAGCAAACAGGUAGGGUAUACUGAAGCAUCCUCUUUGGAGGGCAUUUUAGCAAUACCUGUCUAAUUUAAAGGUGGAUUUGCCUUUCACCAGAAAUUCCAUUUAUAGAAAUUUAAUCCCAGAAGCUCUCAUAUGUACAUGGAGGGGUCCAUACAGGGAUAUUGACCAGAACAUUGUUUAUAAUUGCAAAAGACUGGAAACAAUGGAAUGUCUGUCUAUUAAUAGAAGACUAGUUAAAUAACCAUGAGAUAGUUGGUUAAUAAUCCUCUGUGUUCCUGUUAAACAGGAGGGGGAAAAUCUGUGUGAACACAUAUGAAAAGAGCUCCGAUACACACACACACACACACACACACACACACACACACACACACACACACAUACAGUGCAGAGUACUUUUCCACUUCUGUAACAAGGGGGAGGCUCUACCUACAUGCUUAUCUCUGCCUAGAACAUCUCAGAGGGACACAUAAACAGGGAAACUAGAGGACUUGGGUCAGAAAAUCUUAUUAUAGCUCUGGCUGGUUAGCUCAGUUGGAUGGAGUGUCAUCCUGAUACGGCAAGGUUGCAGAUUCGAUCCCCAGUCAGGGCACAUGCAGGAAUCAACCAAUGGCUGCAUGAAUGAGUGGAACAACAAAUCGAUGUUUCUUUCUCUCACUCCCUCUCUCUCCAAAAUCAAUCAAUAAAUACAAUUUUUAUAAAAUUUUAAAUUAUACAUUAAGAUAAAUUAAAAGGAUUAAACAAUAAUUAAAUAAGGAAUUGGGGAUUGCUCCAAAAAUUCCAAAACAUAUGAUUGCUAAAUAUACCCUGAAAACACUAGCCUUAGGAUGAGAAGGGAGUUUAGUUUUUAUAUAAUUAAACAGAAUUAAAUAAUCAUAAAAACCCAAACAACACUGUGUUUUUUCAUUGUUAUCUCCAAUAAAAUUUACAGUUCCUGUAAAACUCUUAUACAACAUGAGCCCAUUUCCCUCAAAUAUGGAACUGAGUUUCCUGUCCAUAUUGAUUUAGCAGUUCAGGGACUUCGGGCAGGGCAGGGUUAUCCCCUUUCACAUCCCUCCAAUUGGUUCCGUCUCUACCAUUUUCAGUCAAAAUUCCAAAGGUCACUUGGAAAGCACAUAACCCACUAAGCUGCCAGACACUCCCUUUUGGCUAGAUAACCCCCCACGGCCCAGAUCCCAGUGCAGAGUCCUGGGAACCAGGGAAGCGCUGUUAUAAAACCCUUGUCUACUUGGCCAGCAAUUGGAGGUGAUGCUGAACAAAUUGAGAGUUUCAGCAAGCAUAUCUUUAGAAUCCAAUUUUUAUUAUAAUUGAUUAGAAAAUCUAGCUUACAUUCCACAUGCAGUCACCUAAUCAUCGCCAAGGUGUAAUAACAGUUAAACGAAAACCAGUAUGAGUCAUGCUCCUAUAAAACUGUCUGCUUACAGAGCUUGGCUUUCUCUGAACGGGGGAAACUUGAAGUCAGGCAGCAGAGGAAGGGGUUGUCCUGGCCUCUUGCUGGGAGAGAUUAUUACGAGAAAAGCAGGUCACACGGGAUCUGCCCAGUGGCUCAUGGACAUGGAGUGAGCACAUUGAUUGAAGUCUUUGGUUGCCCGGCACCAUUUGAACACCCUCCCACCGUCCAGGGAUGUCCCCCCAGAACACUCUCUCACAGCCUCCCUCCCAGCUGGGAUGAGGCCUGGGUGAGAGACUUGAGGAUCUGACACACGCACUGGUGAGAGCCAUCAGGGCAUGAGCGAGAGAGGCGAAGGGCAGGUCAGUGUCCGGGGUGCUGUGAGCAUUGUAAGCAGCCACAUAGCCUCCACGUGGAUGCUCUGUCCUCCUAGGAACUUUGCUGACUUCCUAACAUCCUCGUGAGCUCUUCUUCAACUUAAUUCUCUGUAGUUAGAGUGGAUUUUGUCGGUUAUGCCUACCUGGGAUAGGCCUUUGACUUGGAUGACUAAUGAGAACUAGUCACAGAUAAAAGUCACAGAUGACUCCUUCCAUCUUCUCUCUGCAGCUACGGCCUUGGUCCUGAUUCCUUACCUUCUUUGCAAGCCAGGUCUCUUAGCCAGAUUGAAAGAAAACAGGCUGUGGAGUGAGCUACCCAUCUGAAUACCAUUCAUGCCCAGUGGCUUUGAUCUGUAGCUUCACCUCUCGCGCUCAGUUUACUCAUCUGUAAAACGGGUUUAAUAAGGCCACCUUCCCCACAGAGGAGUUGUGAGGAGUAAAUAGAAUAACCCAUUAAUAGCACUUGGAUACAUGUUGAGGAUUAGUUCUCCCAAUAAAGAAACAAAGUAAGACUAAUGUGGGGAGUUAGAAAAUUCCUUAUUGUAUGGAAUAAAAAUAAAAACCCCAUUAACAACAGCAUCAAGGAAUCCUAGCUAUUUUCUUUCUGGCCAUAGACUUCUUUAGAAUAAAUCCAUAAAUAUCUAAUAAUAAAUCCAACCAUAAACUCUAGACAAAAAUCUUAAAAUCAGCUACCUGGAGAUACUGUAGAAUGAAAAACAAGCAGGCAGAUACUGGUGGGAAGUUGACAUUUGGAAGAAAAGGACAUCGCAGAGUAAAUUUCUUUCUUCUGAAGUAGCAUUUAGCCCGAAGGCAGGCCCCAGUCUGUGCAUGUAGGACAGCUAAAAUUCUGGCAGAAAAAUCUGCAAUACUAUUAUUGGCUUGAUGAACCAGAGGACACAGCUCAGGGCAACCACAGUCACUGGAAAGUGGGGAGGGGAAUCCAAGAAAGGAGACAGGAGCCCAAGCAAUAUAAAUGAACUUAUGUAGUUGCAAGCUUUCUACAAUUUAUGUGAAGUGUUGCAAUACAAACUCUUAGCAGUAUGAAAAGUUAUGGAUGUAUAUUGUAACCCUGGGGCAAUAAAAUAUAAGGCAAAGAGAUAGCUACAAAGCCAAUAGAAAAAUUAAAUUGAAUCAUAAAACAUUCAGUUAAUUAAAAGGAAGAAAGAGAAGCAGAAAAAAUAACAGAAGGGAAAAA